rnacentral:rRNA from 1 species
CCUACGGGUGGCUGCAGUGAGGAAUAUUGGUCAAUGGGCGCAAGCCUGACCCAGCAACGCCGCGUGAAGGAAGAAGGCCCUCGGGUUGGAAACUUCUUUUAUCAGGGACGAAACAACUGACGGUACCUGAUGAAUAAGCCGCGGCUCACUACGUGCCAGCAGCCGCGGUAAUACGUAGGGGGCAAGCGUUAUCCGGAUUUACUGGGUGUAAAGGGCGUGUAGGCGGGUCUGCAAGUCAGAUGGGAAAUCUCAUGGCUCAACCAUGGAACUGCAUUUGAAACUGUAGAUCUUGAGUGAUGGAGAGGCAGGCGGAAUGCGGGGUGUAGCGGUGAAAUGCGUAGAUAUAAGGAGGAACACCAGUGGCGAAGGCGGCCUGCUGGACAUUAACUGACGCUGAGGCGCGAAAGCGUGGGGAGCAAACAGGAUUAGAUACCCGAGUAGUC